UGGGGAAUUUUGGACAAUGGGGGCAACCCUGAUCCAGCCAUCCCGCGUGUGCGAUGAAGGCCUUCGGGUUGUAAAGCACUUUUGGCAGGGAAGAAACAGCCUGGGAUAAUACCCCGGGCGACUGACGGUACCUGCAGAAUAAGCACCGGCUAACUACGUGCCAGCAGCCGCGGUAAUACGUAGGGUGCAAGCGUUAAUCGGAAUUACUGGGCGUAAAGCGUGCGCAGGCGGUUCGGAAAGAAAGGUGUGAAAUCCAGGGCUUAACCUUGGAACUGCACUUUUAACUACCGAGCUAGAGUACGUCAGAGGGGGGUAGAAUUCCACGUGUAGCAGUGAAAUGCGUAGAGAUGUGGAGGAAUACCGAUGGCGAAGGCAGCCCCCUGGGAUGAUACUGACGCUCAUGCACGAAAGCGUGGGGAGCAAACAGGAUUAGAUACCCUGGUAGUCCACGCCCUAAACGAUGUCAACUAGCUGUUGGGGUUUAUUAACCUUAGUAGCGCAGCUAACGCGUGAAGUUGACCGCCUGGGGAGU
rnacentral:rRNA from 1 species